rnacentral:rRNA from 1 species
UACGUAGGGGGCAAGCGUUGUCCGGAUUUAUUGGGCGUAAAGCGCGUGUAGGUGGCCAAGUAGGUCCGCUGUGAAAACUUGAGGCUCAACCUCAAGCUGUCGGUGGAAACCCCUUGGCUAGAGUCCGGAAGAGGAGAGUGGAAUUCCUGGUGUAGCGGUGAAAUGCGCAGAUAUCAGGAAGAACACCAGUGGUGUAGACGGCUUUCUGGACCGUAACUGACGCUGGAGACACGAAAGCGUGGGUAGCAAACAGG